GAUGAACGCUGGCGGCGUGCCUAAUACAUGCAAGUCGAGCGAACAGACGAGGAGCUUGCUCCUCUGACGUUAGCGGCGGACGGGUGAGUAACACGUGGAUAACCUACCUAUAAGACUGGGAUAACUUCGGGAAACCGGAGCUAAUACCGGAUAAUAUAUUGAACCGCAUGGUUCAAUAGUGAAAGACGGUUUUGCUGUCACUUAUAGAUGGAUCCGCGCCGCAUUAGCUAGUUGGUAAGGUAACGGCUUACCAAGGCAACGAUGCGUAGCCGACCUGAGAGGGGGUGCGGGCCCACUGGAGAUGAGAGACGGUGCAGACUCCCAAGGGGGACACAGCAGGGGAAUCUACCGCAAGAGGCGGAAGACUGAAGGAAAAACGCCGCGUUAGAGAGAAGGGUCUUUGGGUCGUAAAACCCUUUUUUUAGGGAAAAACAAAUCUGUAUGUUACUUGGGUCGUUUGGCCGGAACUAAAUAAGAAACCCCGGCUAAAUACGUG
rnacentral:rRNA from 1 species